rnacentral:lncRNA from 1 species
UUCCAUGGAUGCAGCUGCUAGAUGCUGAAGCCGUACGUAUACGUCUGCAUGCAGAUCAACCGCCGACCUGUGACCAAACAAAUCAAAUGCAGAGUGCCAUCGUGCAACUAGCUCACCAGUCACCUCCCUCCUCUCCUCAACUCGAGCACAAGCCUACCUUCGGAAAGGGAUGAACGAAAGCUAAUUAGACCUGUUGAUGCCGUGGGAAGGAAUUGCCAGAGUCAAAUGCAAGUUUUCAAUUGUUCGUUGCAUGUUUGCGGUUUGUGCUACCUUUUAUGGUACUGUAAAAUACUGUUAGACUUUUAUUAUUAAUUAGGAAGAGAUUCAGAGAACCGAACCGAAGCUGCAGCGUGUGGAAAGAAAGAGAGCAUCCAUCAGGAUAGAGAUCUACCGGGGACCAGGUUUGGAAAAGAAUAAUCGCUCAUGCGGCCGAAAGGAGGCUGAAGGGCUGUCCUGCCCGAGCUAGCGUUCUCGAGGCGUUGGCUGCCGGCGGGCAUGAUGCAAAACCACGACGGCCGGUUGGUUGGCUGGUGCCUGCUGGAGCAUGCAAAUUGGAGUGUUGCGACUGAGCACAGCAGGUUAACAGCCUCUUCACCUCUUGGUCCCUCGCAAAAGGCACGGGGCCAAGGUACGAUGAAGUACGUUUUCGAUUUUCUUUUGUUUCCAUGCAUGCUCCUGCUUUGGCGCCGCGCGAUAAAGAGAUCGCACCUGCAUUUCUCAGCUCCACCAGGAUGAUACUAACAAUAUAUCUCGAAAGCGACAAGGCUGAUAUAUAUCUUCAAAAAUGUAAUAGAAGCCGCAAGGCUUGAUCCACAUGAUGCCAUUGUGUAAGCGACGAGCUAGGCCUCGAUUGGAUUGUUGGAUUUCUUAACCGAUUGUAAACGUAUACACUUGUAUUUUAUAGGGCUCAAGAAAAACCAGGGAGUAAUGGCCGCUUCGCAGCUAGGCAUAAAGCAACCUAGAUGAUAACAUCCACCCGUAUGACACGAGAUAACAUGAUUUUUACGUCUUCUUAA